rnacentral:rRNA from 1 species
UGGAUCAUUGUUUUUGKAURAAGUCCWAGUCUAGGGAGGRAAGUUGGAAGGUUAAUAKUUAAAWGAAUUGKCGWKUGCCCSCCCAACCAGCGGAGCAUGCUGAUUAAUUUGAUGCAACGMGAAMAACCUUAMCAAGGCUUGUCAUACACCAGWCCGUCCUCGAAACAGGUCCUSUUYUUGAAGKUGGUGUMCAGGUGGUGCAWGGUUGUYGUCAGCUSGUGUCCUGAGAUGUUGGGUUAAGUCCCGCAACGAGCGCAACCCUCGUUCUAUGUUGCCAGCACGUGAUGGUGGGAACUCAUAGGAGACUGCCGGGGUCARCUCGGAGGAAGGUGGGGAUGACGUCAMAUCAUCAUGCCCUUUAUGUCUUGGGCUUCACGCAUGCUACAAUGGCUGGUACAGAGAGAGGCGAACCCGUGAGGGCAAGCGAAUCCCUUAAAGCCAGUCUCAGUUCGGAUCGUAGUCUGCAAUUCGACUACGUGAAGUCGGAGUCGCUAGUAAUCGCAGAUCAGCAACGCUGCGGUGAAUACGUUCCCGGGCCUUGUACACACCGCCCGUCAAGKCACGAAAGUCGGUAACACCCGAAGCCGGUGGCCUAACCCCUUGUGGGAGGGGCCGUCUAAGUUGGAUC